GAUGAACGCUGGCGGCGUGCCUAACACAUGCAAGUCGAGCGAUCUCUUCGGAGAGAGCGGCGGACGGGUGAGUAACGCGUGGGUAACCUGCCCUGUACACACGGAUAACAUACCGAAAGGUAUACUAAUACGGGAUAACAUACGAAAGUCGCAUGGCUUUUGUAUCAAAGCUCCGGCGGUACAGGAUGGACCCGCGUCUGAUUAGCUAGUUGGUAAGGUAAUGGCUUACCAAGGCAACGAUCAGUAGCCGACCUGAGAGGGUGAUCGGCCACACUGGAACUGAGACACGGUCCAGACUCCUACGGGAGGCAGCAGUGGGGAAUAUUGCACAAUGGGCGAAAGCCUGAUGCAGCAACGCCGCGUGAGCGAUGAAGGCCUUCGGGUCGUAAAGCUCUGUCCUCAAGGAAGAUAAUGACGGUACUUGAGGAGGAAGCCCCGGCUAACUACGUGCCAGCAGCCGCCGUAA
rnacentral:rRNA from 1 species